ensembl:lncRNA
UGUUGAAUGUCUUGUAAGUUCCUGGUCCCCGUCUGCAUUUUUGGCUCUUGGCAUUUUUUUUGAGCAUUUAGUGAGCUGCCGACGAUCCGAACUUUGACUGGACCCUAAAACACCGCUAUUUAUUUUACCCUCUACAUCUUUACAUUUUGACAAAUUGGAAAUAUUAAACGUACGCAGAGUUCAUUAAAAGUUCUCAUUUGCAGUGUAUCUGAGUUCCCAGACAACUGUCAGUGGAUUACCCUGAUACUGAAACAAAGUGACGCUCCUCUGGCAAGUUCGGUAGUUGUAAUGAGCUCGUCGUUACUCCGUGAUUUGGGUGUUACUUUACAAUGCACAUUGUCGGGAGGAAGGAUCACACUGAAUAUCUUGCAUUACUCCCGCAGAAGACGUGUCUCAACCUGUAUUGACACCCACAGAAGCACGAUCAAGAAUUGUACAUCUGAAAACUGCGGCAGUCAGAACCGAACACGGAGAAGCAGCGUCCAGUUCUUCAGCUUCACGUAUCUGGAACAAAUUCCCAGAGAGCUGCAGGUCUGCCGAGAUUCCGGCAGCUUCAAAUUAAGACUGAAGACGUUUCUCUUUGCUGCUGCUUUUAAUUUAACCAGAUUAAGUCAAUUCAGCAGGUUCUUUUUUUAUAAAUCUCAGUUUUCAUUAUGACUCCGAUUUGAUGACUCUGAUUUACACUCACCAUGUGUCCCCCUUGUUUCAGGUGUGUUCACUUCCCUCAUGUCUUCCCAGCCUUAGCAGCUGCCCUUCCCGAUUGUGUCCACCUGUGUUUCAUUAACAUCCCUUCCCCUUGUGUACUUAAGGGGUGUGCACUGUGUUGUUUGCGCGCCAGUUUGUCUUGUACUAUUUGUCAAGUGUGGCAGGACCUUUGUGCCAAACUAGUUAGUGGUUUCCUGGUCAAGCCUUCGACCCCGAUUACCCUUUCUGGAUGCCGUCUCUUGUCUCUUGCCUUCUACUAGUUUGUGUUGCAAACCCUGCCUGUCCUUGACCAUGUUUUUGUAAAUAAUGCUUCCUGUGACAUAAUCCCCAAGUUGUGAACCUUAAAAACAGUAUAGUGAAUCUAUUGUAAGCUUCUUUAUUAUUUAGUGUCGGUUUUUGAUUUUUUAAUCAACAAUUUUCUUAAAGAUUUUUAAAUUUUCUUUCUUUUUGUUUUGGUGGUUUUGAUGGUACAAUGUGCAAGACUGAAUUGAUUUUUUGUUGAAAUGCGAUACAAUGCAAAGUGCUACACAAAUAAACCUGCCUUGGCUA